CAAAACCACAAAAUUCGCAGAAAGAAUGUAUUGAUUUCUUAUUAAAGGAUAAAAUAAAUUCAAAUAAUCGGAUUUUACAAGAGUUCUCAAAAUAUACCAUAUAUUGCUAAUACUCUAGAAAUGAAGCCUAAGGGUCCAUUCACAGUAGAGAUCGACACGACAAACACAACAUGACAUUAAACGACAAAGCAGCUGAUGUGUCGUAAGCCACAUAGCAUUCAUAGUGGUUGCU